rnacentral:rRNA from 1 species
AGUGAACGCUGGCGGCGUGCCUAAUACAUGCAAGUCGAACGGAGUGGCGCACGGGUGAGUAAUAUAUAGCUAAUCUGCCCCUUGCUGGAGGACAACAGUUAGAAAUGACUGCUAAUACUCCAUAGCAAGGGAUGAGACUAUAUCGUAUCAGCUAGUCGGUGGGGUAACGGCCUACCGCGGCUAUGACGCGUAACUGGUCUGAGAGGAUGAUCAGUCACAUUGGAACUGAGACACGGGCAGACAUCCUACGGGAGGGAGCAGUAGGGAAGAUUGCGCAAUGGGGGAAACCCUGACGGAGCAACGCGGCGUGGAGGAUGACAAUUUUAGGAGAAUAAACUCCUUUUGUUAGGGAAGCGGUACCUAACUAAUAAGCACCGGCUAACUCUGUGCCAGCAGCCGCGGUAAUAC